rnacentral:rRNA from 1 species
CCUACGGGGGGCUGCAGUGGGGAAUAUUGGACAAUGGGGGCAACCCUGAUCCAGCCAUGCCGCGUGUGUGAAGAAGGCCCUCGGGUUGUAAAGCACUUUCAGUGAGGAAGAACGCCUGGUGGUUAAUACCCAUCAGGAAAGACAUCACUCACAGAAGAAGCACCGGCUAACUCCGUGCCAGCAGCCGCGGUAAUACGGAGGGUGCGAGCGUUAAUCGGAAUUACUGGGCGUAAAGCGCGCGUAGGUGGCUUGAUAAGCCGGUUGUGAAAGCCCCGGGCUCAACCUGGGAACGGCAUCCGGAACUGUCAAGCUAGAGUGCAGGAGAGGAAGGUAGAAUUCCCGGUGUAGCGGUGAAAUGCGUGGAGAUCGGGAGGAAUACCAGUGGCGAAGGCGGCCUUCUGGACUGACACUGACUCUGGGGUGCGAAAGCGUGGGUAGCAAACAGGAUUAGAUACCCGAGUAGUC